AUUGAACGCUGGCGGCAGGCCUAACACAUGCAAGUCGAGCGGAUGAAGGGAGCUUGCUCCUGGAUUCAGCGGCGGACGGGUGAGUAAUGCCUAGGAAUCUGCCUGGUAGUGGGGGAUAACGUCCGGAAACGGGCGCUAAUACCGCAUACGUCCUGAGGGAGAAAGUGGGGGAUCUUCGGACCUCACGCUAUCAGAUGAGCCUAGGUCGGAUUAGCUAGUUGGUGGGGUAAAGGCCAACCAAGGCGACGAUCCGUAACUGGUCUGAGAGGAUGAUCAGUCACACUGGAACUGAGACACGGUCCAGACUCCUACGGGAGGCAGCAGUGGGGAAUAUUGGACAAUGGGCGAAAGCCUGAUCCAGCCAUGCCGCGUGUGUGAAGAAGGUCUUCGGAUUGUAAAGCUCUUUAAGUAGGGAGGAAGGGCAGUAAGUUAAUACCUUGCUGUUUUGACGUUACCAACAGAAUAAGCACCGGCUAACUUCGUG
rnacentral:rRNA from 1 species